CAGCUAUAGACACCAGAACCACUUCAUUAAGCUAUAGUGUCCCUUUAAUGUGAGGUAAAUUAUAGAUUAGUGUCACUAAUAAUAUACUAGAUUGCCUACUUACAAGCAGAUGAGGAUGAUGAUGGGCUGCAGUUUGGCUCCACUGGUCUGGUGUAGAACAGGAUCUCUGAGGCUGUUUGCAACUGUGGUCACAAAAUUCAAUGUUCUGGGAGAAUUGGAAGCAGCUCAAUUUUUUUCGGGCCCCUUACACAGCUCAAGGUCUGGGCCCCAGGGCCUGACGGUGAGUAUGCCCAUAAGGCCCACUCAUAAGUUCCACCCACCCAUGAGUUCGCUCACAGGGAGUGGAGUGUGUAGGGAUGUGUUAUGUGUUAUUGUAGAGGAUCUAAUAUGUGUGCUUAUGGUAUGUAGUGUUUAGGGUUACCAGUUUGUGCAGGUGAUGCAGUGUGUUUGUGUGUAGUGGAAGCAGUGUGUAUUUGUGUAUAAGGGAUGUAUUAUGUGUU